rnacentral:rRNA from 1 species
UACAUGGGGUGCAAACGUUGCUCGGAAUUAUUGGGCGUAAAGCGCGCGUAGGCGGUUACACAAGUUGGAUGUGAAAGCCCUCGGCUUAACUGAGGAAGUGCAUCCAAAACUGUGCAGCUAGAGUACUAAAGAGGGUCGCGGAAUUCCCGGUGUAGAGGUGAAAUUCGUAGAUAUCGGGAGGAACACCGGUGGCGAAGGCGGCCAACUGGACCACUACUGACGCUGAAACACGAGAGCGUGGGGAGCAAACAGG